CGGCGGGAGGGGCCGCGUAGGCGGGCGGGGCUCUGCCCGGAGCCAGCGCAGCCCAUGCGCAGAGGAGUCUGGCUUUCUGCGGUCAAAGGCAUGACUCUGCAUUGCCUCCUACUGUAUGCGUAGAAAAAGUCGGAGAGAGUUAUUUGUUAAUGUUCAUUCCAUGUCUUUGGAAUUGCUCGUGCCUGCAGGGAGCACCGCCAAGCAGUGAAAAGUGCUGUAUUACAAUCUGAAAAAUCAGGCUGGAAUGACAGAAAAUCACAGCUGAAAGAACUGAAUUGUCCAACGGUGCAUCAAUGCAGACAAUUGGAGAACUCCAUCUACAUUUAGGGAUGGAUGUUUUCCACUCUGAACUUUCAAAGCAUAUCUCUCUGUAUCAGGACAGUGGAGGUCUCCUAACAUUCAACGUGCUACCUCAGGACUCUGAAUACAUCUCCCUGUAUUGCCUCAGCAAGGGCCUAUCCCUUCCCUUGGGAGGUGCUUUUACACUGUGGUUCUCAGCUUUGGCCUCCGCCUGAUCUAC
rnacentral:lncRNA from 1 species